ACGAACGCUGGCGGCGUGCUUAACACAUGCAAGUGGAACGGAAAGGCCCUGCUUUUGUGGGGUGCUCGAGUGGCGAACGGGUGAGUAACACGUGAGUAACCUGCCCUUGACUUUGGGAUAACUUCAGGAAACUGGGGCUAAUACCGGAUAGGAGCUCCUGCUGCAUGGUGGGGGUUGGAAAGUUUCGGCGGUUGGGGAUGGACUCGCGGCUUAUCAGCUUGUUGGUGGGGUAGUGGCUUACCAAGGCUUUGACGGGUAGCCGGCCUGAGAGGGUGACCGGCCACAUUGGGACUGAGAUACGGCCCAGACUCCUACGGGAGGCAGCAGUGGGGAAUAUUGCACAAUGGGCGGAAGCCUGAUGCAGCAACGCCGCGUGCGGGAUGACGGCCUUCGGGUUGUAAACCGCUUUCGCCUGUGACGAAGCGUGAGUGACGGUAAUGGGUAAAGAAGCACCGGCUAACUACGUG
rnacentral:rRNA from 1 species